rnacentral:rRNA from 1 species
GACAGAGGGUGCAAACGUUGUUCGGAAUUACUGGGCGUAAAGCGCGUGUAGGCGGCAGGGCAAGUCGGAUGUGAAAUCCCGUGGCUCAACCACGGAAGUGCACCCGAAACUGCCCAGCUAGAGUCUCGGAGAGGAAGGUGGAAUGCUUGGUGUAGAGGUGAAAUUCGUAGAUAUCAAGCGGAACACCGGUGGCGAAGGCGGCCUUCUGGACGAUGACUGACGCUGAGACGCGAAAGCCAGGGGAGCAAACGGG